GUGCUUGGUUCAGCAGUACAUACACAUAAAAACAUUGGAAUGAUACAAAGAUUAGCACAGCGCCUAUGCAAGGAUAACAUGCAAAUUCAUGAAGCAUGCCAUUAUUAU
ensembl:snRNA U6 U6 spliceosomal RNA